rnacentral:rRNA from 1 species
UACGUAGGGUGCAAGCGUUGUCCGGAAUUAUUGGGCGUAAAGAGCUCGUAGGCGGUCUGUCGCGUCGGAUGUGAAAAUCCAGGGCUCAACCCUGGACCUGCAUUCGAUACGGGCAGACUAGAGUUCGGCAGGGGAGACUGGAAUUCCUGGUGUAGCGGUGAAAUGCGCAGAUAUCAGGAGGAACACCGGUGGCGAAGGCGGGUCUCUGGGCCGAAACUGACGCUGAGGAGCGAAAGCGUGGGGAGCGAACAGG